rnacentral:lncRNA from 1 species
AAAUAGGACGUCACUUGGCGUAGAGGUUUAAACGUAUUCGGAUGUGUCUACUUUUGUGUUUCAAAUGUCUGGUUAUGUAAAUGUAUUUCAGUUGUUUCCUGUAAUUAGUUAAUACUUCAGCUUUAUCAUGUACAUCUUUUGUAUAUUCAUUUUAUUAAAUUUACUGUUUGCAAAAGUAUAAAUUACUCUAAAUUAUAGGGAUUUUCUGGUAACUUAACAGAAAACCCUUGCCGUUUUUGGCACAACCUUUUUGAUCUUUUGGUCCUCGAUGCUGUUCAACUUUGUACUCGUUUCGGCUUUCAAACUUUUGUAUCUGUGCGUCACACAUAGGUCUUGUGUGGACAAAAUACACUUCUGGCGUAUUAAAAUUUUGAACUUGUUGCCUUUUGUUGGCUGUUGUUCAUGUGAUUCUUUGUCAAUUGUGUUCUCCAAUUUAUUUAUAUUGUAGUCCUGUGUUGUCAUUUUGAUGUUAUAUUUCACAUGGCCAUAAAAGUGCGAGGUUUGGCAUGCCACAAAACCAGGUUCAACCCACCAUUUUUUUCCUUUAAAAAUGCCCUGUACCAAGUCAUGAAUAUGGUCAUUGUUAUAUUAUAGUUCGUUUCUGUGUGUA